GCCUGCCAACCUUCUAUUGAAGACACAUGACCCUGAAAGGCAUCACGUGAAGUCUAUGUGGAUUGUGCCUGAGGAUCUUAUUUAUAUGUCAGGACAGCUGAAAUGGGUUUCCAAAGAGUAGAGGGACAAGAAGCCAGGAGACAAGGAAAAGAUGGCAUGCAUUGAGUCAGCAUGUGCAUGAAGGAGAGACAUCAGCCUUCAUACCAAGCAUACCGCUUGACCAUUGAAACAGCCUGUGGGCUGUGUGGCAGGCUGUGUUAGUCCCGUUUGUUGAGCAGGUGGAUUUGGGGAGGUUAAGGGUCUUCUUAUCCCCUGGUUGAUGGGAAGAGGUGGGAUUCAGCCGUGUUACUCUGAUGUCCAACACCUGUGCUUCACCAUGCUCCUUCAGAGAAGAGGGGCUCUGUAAGAAGAGAUUUGUCAAGCUUCCAGGGAAGGAGGUUCCUGUUGUAGUCACCUCAGCCCUGCCUCAAGUUCAAGAAUAGAACACCUCAGCUGGAGAAACACAAUGGUGAGCUUUCUGCCCCUCUCAUACCUCAGGAAGAGGUUGUGUAUGUGUGUAGUCUUUACUCGUUCCAUCAACACUGCAGCUAGAAUCUGAUACCCGUCGCUGGACACUAUCUGCUCUUCACAGAAAAGCCAGUGUAUGGACUUUAUCCAGAUAUUCUUGGAGAGGACUGCUCAGUAAUACUUAUUAAGUGAAUGGAUAAGUGUCGCACCAUUGCAAACAGAAAAUUGAAUUUAUACCUCAUCAAGCCCCACUUUGCCCAUGCUGGCUUCCCAAGCCAUGUUUCAAUUGAAUUUGAGUCUUUUCUGUCCUGUGACGUAGGAAGCAACUUGAUGAGCUGAGCUGUGUUGCCAAGGCCAAGGCCCUGCCUGCCAGACACUCCAUAAACACUUCCCGAAGUGGCUAGAAUGGAAGAGGUGAAACUUGAACCUGGAGUAGCAAGCCGAAGAGCAGCAAGAAGAAACCCAACCCUUGUUCCGUGCCACACUCACAAUUCAGACUCCUCAGUCUGAGAGUGUAACGACACCGGCAUGCAUAACACAGACAUGAACCUUCUAAGAAAAUCCCCCUGUGCUUCUUAGAAGCUUAGAGGGAGACAAACAACACAUGGAGGAGAUAAAAUUAGAGUUGGGAAGCAUGAGCGCACAGGUGCUUGUUUGUAUUAUUUUGGUGUGCACAUGGCAGCUCCGUGUUUGUCAACUCCCCUGAGAGUGAACCAGGCAUGACUCUGAAAACACUUGAGUGACAUCAAAACCAUACAUUUCUAUGAAGCUUUCGUUUUUCUUCUUCUUUCAAUGUAGUCACAAUAGAAAGAUAGUGCUUAUUUUUUAAUUAUGUAUUCUUUGAAGUUACCAUAUUUGAGACUAUUAUCCAAAACAUUUUCAGCUAAUGGCCCCAAAGCACCAUGCCUAUCUUGCUUUCUAGUCUCUUGCUGUAAAGUGUUCGUGUAAGUGGAUCAUUCUUCUAACUGAAUUAUUUUCAUGAUCUUUCAAUAGUGUGAAAAUGUUACGUACCCUCCAAGAACCAUGCCAAUUCUCAUUAAACUGCAAAUUUUA